CCCUGAGGAGGAGAGGGUCACAGACAGAUAGAUAGAGGGAAGGCUGUUACAGGUCACCCUGAGGAGGAGAGGGUCACAGACAGAUAGAUAGAGGGAAGGCUGUUACAGGUCACCCUGAGGAGGAGAGGGUCACAGACAGGUAGAUAGAGGGAAGGCUGUUACAGGUCACCCUGAGGAGGAGAGGGUCACAGACAGAUAGAUAGAGGGAAGACUGUUACAGGUCAUCCUGAGGAGGAGAGGGUCACAGACAAAUAGAUAGAUGGAAGACUGUUACAGGUCACCCUGAGGAGGAGAGGGUCACAGACAGACGGGGAAGGCUGUUACAGGUCACCCUGAGGAGGAGAGGGUCACAGACAGAUAGGUUUUGGGAAGAGUGUUACAGGUCACCCUGUGGAGGAGAGGGUCAUAGACAGAUAUAUAGAGGGAAGAGUGUUACAGGUCACCCUGAGGAGGAGAGGGUCACAGACGGACAGGGAAGACUGUUACAGGUCACCCUGAGGAGGAGAGGGUCACAGACAGACGGGGAAGACUGUUACAGGUCACCCUGAGGAGGAGAGGGUCACAGACAGAUAGAUAGAGGGAAGACUGUUACAGGUCACCCUGAGGAG